UGGAUGUUUACCACAUGUCACACGUUAGAAAGCUUCUAGUUGUAGAUAUCUUAUGCUUAACUUUGAUUUCACCUCAAAGCCCUCACUACUUCCCAUACCCGAUAAUCUGAUACUCGGGUUCAUAUGUAUGAGUAUGGAGAUACAUGAACGCCAAUAAGGAUCUGGCACCUUCUAGUAAUUUUUCAAUAGAAACAGGGAUCCCUUGAAGCCACUUAGAGGUCAAUCUCAUAAAUCUCUAGCUAGAGUAACUAUUUAUCAAGCUAUCUUUGUAAGAACUGCUUGAACAUAUAUAUCAUGGUGAUCAUGGAUAUCUAUAUGUGAUUUAACAUAAUUUCAUAUCACAUAAAUUUUGAUUGGGAUAUGGAUAAUUGAAAAACUAAAUAGCAUUGUAACUUGAAUCAAGGUUAGAAAAAGUAUCAUGAUUAUUUCACGUAUACUUCUACUAAUCCAAAAAGCCAUAAAAUGUUGCUAAGUGACACUCAUGGUUCGUGGAAUUAAAUUAAUUCAUUAUCUGAUUUCAUUGCCCUGCUAAGUCACACCUAUGGUAAUUCUAGCAAUGUCAACCUAGAUGAUUAGAUAUAAUUAAUUGUUAAUUAUAUUGAAUUAAUUAUUUAGGACUAUUGAUAGUGUUCUAAAAAUAGAUCUAGGCGCUGGAUGGAGACUGACUGCCGUGAUUAACUUGUAAUUGGUCACAAAAUCGGAAAAUGUAUUAGGCGGACGCUAGGCGAGUUUAGGCGGGUCUAG
rnacentral:lncRNA from 1 species